AGAGUUUGAUCAUGGCUCAGGAUGAACGCUAGCGGCGUGCCUAAUGCAUGCAAGUCGAACGGUAGCCAUAGAACCUAGUUUUGUGGCGAGAGUGGCGGACGGGUGAGUAACACGUUGGUGACCUGCCCCGGAGAGGGGGAUAACUGCUGGAAACGGCGGCUAAUACCGCGGACGUCGUCGUGGUUAGAGAGCGAUGACUGAAGGGGAGGAGGCGUCAAGCCUUCUUCGCACUCCGGGAGGGGCCUGCGGCCCAUCAGCUAGUUGGUGGGGUAAAAGCCUACCAAGGCCGAGACGGGUAAAGGGCGUGAGAGCGCAACCCCCCACACUGAUACUGAAACACGGACCAGAUACCUGCGGGUAGCAGCAGCAAGGGAUAUUGCGCAAUGGGGGCAACCCUGACGCAGCAACGCCGCGUGGAGGAAGAAGUCCUUCGGGAUGUAAACUCCUUUUCUGGGGGAAGAAGGCCGGCCACGAGGUCGGCAAGACGGUACCCUAGGAAGAAGGCCCGGCUAACUACGUGCCAGCAGCCGCGGUAAAACGUAGGGGUCGAGCGUUAUCCGGAAUUACUGGGCGUAAAGCGCGUGCAGGCGGCUGAGGAAGUCGGACGUGAAAGCUCCUGGCUCAACUGGGAGAAACCGUUCGAAACUCUUUGGCUAGAGGACGGUAGAGGCGAGUGGAAUUCCCGGUGUAGUGGUGAAAUGCGUAGAUAUCGGGAGGAACACCAGAGGCGAAAGCGGCUCGCUGGGCCGAUUCUGACGCUGAGACGCGAAAGCUAGGGGAGAGAACGGGAUUAGAAACCCCGGUAUUCCUAGCCGUAAACGAUGUCAACUAGGUGUAGGGGGUGUAGAAGCCUUCUGCGCUGCCGCCAACGCAGUAAGUUGACCGCCUGGGGAGUACGGCCGCAAGGCUAAAACUCAAAGGAAUUGACGGGGGCCCGCACAAGCAGCGGAGCGUGUGGUUUAAUUCGAGGCAACGCGAAGAACCUUACCAGGGUUUGACAUGCUGGUGGUAGAGAGGUGAAAGCCGACUGACCCUUCGGGGAGCCAGCACAGGUGCUGCAUGGCUGUCGUCAGCUCGUGCCGUGAGGUGUUAGGUUAAGUCCUGUAACGAGCGCAACCCACGUCGUUAGUUAUACGUGUCUAGCGAGACAGCCGGUGAUAAGCCGGAGGAAGGUGUGGAUGACGUCAAGUCAGCAUGGCCUUUAUAUCCUGGGCGACACACACGCUACAAUGGCCGGUACAAUGGGCAGCGAAGUCGCGAGGCGGAGCCAAUCCCGCAAAGCCGGUCUCAGUUCGGAUUGCAGGCUGCAACUCGCCUGCAUGAAGUCGGAGUUGCUAGUAACCGCAGGUCAGCCACACUGCGGUAAAUACGUUCCCGGGCCUUGUACACACCGCCCGUCACGUCAUGGGAGUUGGCAACGCCUGAAGUCGGUGGGCUAACGGCGCUUCGGCGUCGGAGCAGCCGCCUAAGACGGGGUCGGUAACUGGGACGAAGUCGUAACAAGGUAGCCGUA
rnacentral:rRNA from 1 species